rnacentral:rRNA from 1 species
GUGGGGAAUAUUGGACAAUGGGCGCAAGCCUGAUCCAGCCAUGCCGCGUGAGUGAUGAAGGCCUUAGGGUUGUAAAGCUCUUUCAGUGGGGACGAUAAUGACGGUACCCACAGAAGAAGCCCCGGCUAACUUCGUGCCAGCAGCCGCGGUAAUACGAAGGGGGCUAGCGUUGUUCGGAUUUACUGGGCGUAAAGCGCACGUAGGCGGAUCGUUAAGUCGGGGGUGAAAUCCUGGAGCUCAACUCCAGAACUGCCUUCGAUACUGGCGAUCUUGAGUCCGGAAGAGGUGAGUGGAACUCCUAGUGUAGAGGUGGAAUUCGUAGAUAUUAGGAAGAACACCAGUGGCGAAGGCGGCUCACUGGUCCGGUACUGACGCUGAGGUGCGAAAGCGUGGGGAGCAAACAGGAUUAGAAACCCGUAGUCC